rnacentral:rRNA from 1 species
UACGGAGGGUGCAAGCAUUAAUCGGAUUUAUUGGGCGUAAAGGGCGCGUAGGCGGGAAUGUCAGUCAGAUGUGAAAUCCCGGGGCUCAACCCCGGAACUGCAUUUGAAACUACAUUUCUUGAGGAUAGGAGGAGAAAACGGAAUUCCACAAGUAGCGGUGAAAUGCGUAGAUAUGUGGAAGAACACCGGUGGCGAAGGCGGUUUUCUAUCUUAUUCCUGACGCUGAUGCGCGAAAGCAAGGGGAUCAAACAGG